rnacentral:misc_RNA from 1 species
UGCGCUGGGUCCUGAGUUGAAUGUGGCGAUGGAGGUGGGGUUUUUAGAUAUUGUAUACCAGAAGGUAAAGUGCUAAAAGCAAGACUGUGGCUAAGAUGAUGGGAAAUAAUUCGGUGUUUGAAGGCGGAGGAUUUAGCGAAGCCGGGAAGAAGAAGACGGUGGAAGCCGUUCAUAAGUCUUGUUGUCAGAUCUUUGAGUUCUCG